GGGCCGUAAAUUAUACUUCUAUAAGUUGUUGAUUUUAUUCAAUAGAUUUAUAGACUUUUAAUCUUUUGGUCGAAGGUUCGAAUCCUUCACGGCCCACCA
rnacentral:tRNA from 2 species